GCGUUUUGAGAGCUGGAGACUCGACGAAUAUCAAAGGAUUCAUAUGUUCAAGAGUUUUCCGACGAUUGAAGAUUGAUUCCUCACGAAAUUCUGUAAUGACAACAAUGUUAAUCUUUGUUUUUAUUUCGAUUAUGAGUAACUAAACCCCCCAUUGCUAGGGGGUGACCCUGAUUCUGAAUGUGACAGAUUUGAUGUUUAUGAAUGCAUUGAUUAUUU
rnacentral:lncRNA from 1 species